GACGAACGCUGGCGGCGUGCUUAACACAUGCAAGUCGAACGGAAAGGCCCUGCUUGCAGGGUCCUCGAGUGUCGAACGGGUGAGUAACACGUGGGUGAUCUGCCCUUCACUUCGGGAUAAUCCUUGGAAACUGUGUCUAAUACCUGAUAGCAGCCAUUUUUAUUUUUAUGGUUGGAAAGUUUUUUCGGUGUAGUAUGAGUUCGCGUCCUAUCAGCUUGUUGGUUGGGUAAUGGCCUACCAAGCCGGCUACGGGUAGCCGGACAGCGAGUGUGGACGGCCAAAUUGGGACUGAGAUACGGCCCAGACUCCGAAGGGAGGCAGAAGUGGGGAAUAUUGCAAAAUGGGCGCAAGCCUGAUGCAGAGACGCCGCGGGGGGGAAGACGGCCUUCGGGUUGUAAACUCCUUGCGCUAGGGACGAAGCUUUUUGUGACGGUACCUAGAUAAGAAGCACCGGCUAACUACGUG
rnacentral:rRNA from 1 species